AGAGUUUGAUUAUGGCUCAGGAUGAACGCUGGCGGCGUGCCUAACACAUGCAAGUCGAGCGAUUCUCUUCGGAGAAGAGCGGCGGACGGGUGAGUAACGCGUGGGUAACCUGCCUCAUACACAUGGAUAACAUACCGAAAGGUAUGCUAAUACAGGAUAAUAUAAGAGAUUCACAUGGAUUUCUUAUCAAAGCUCCGGCGGUAUGAGAUGGACCCGCGUCUGAUUAGCUAGUUGGUAAGGUAACGGCUUACCAAGGCGACGAUCAGUAGCCGACCUGAGAGGGUGAUCGGCCACAUUGGAACUGAGACACGGUCCAAACUCCUACGGGAGGCAGCAGUGGGGAAUAUUGCACAAUGGGCGAAAGCCUGAUGCCAGCAACGCCGCGUGAGCGAUGAAGGCCUUCGGGUCGUAAAACUCUGUCCUCAAGGAAGAUAAUGACGGUACUUGAGGAGGAAGCCCCGGCUAACUACGUGCCAGCCGCAGC
rnacentral:rRNA from 1 species